rnacentral:rRNA from 1 species
UACGAAGGGGACUAGCGUUGUUCGGAUUUACUGGGCGUAAAGCGCGCGUAGGCGGAUCGCUAAGUCAGGGGUGAAAUCCCAAGGCUCAACCUUGGAACUGCCUUUGAUACUGACGAUCUGGAGAUUGGGAGAGGUGAGUGGAAUUCCGAGUGUAGAGGUGAAAUUCGUAGAUAUUCGGAGGAACACCAGAAGCGAAGGCGGCUCACUGGCCCGGUACUGACGCUGAGGUGCGAAAGCGUGGGGAGCAAACAGG